rnacentral:rRNA from 1 species
UAUCAAAGACAUAGUAAAACCUUGUUUUAUAUAUCUGCCCAAUGAUAAACAUUAUAUGGCCUCAAGGUAGCAUAAUAAUUAGUUUAUUAAUUGUAAACUAGCAUGAAGACAGCAUUUUUAAAAAUUUUUUAGACAAAUUAAAUGAAAUUUAAGCAUUAGUUAAAAUACUGAUAUGCCCCCUAUAGACGAUAAGACCCUAAGACCUUUAUUAAUAUUUUACUGGGAUAGUACUAUAAAUAUAAUAAAUUUUUAUCUAAUAAAUAUCAACCAAAAAUUUUGCUAUUAAAGGUACCUUAGGGAUAACAGCGCUAAGCCUCUUAAAGGCCUAAUUAAAGAGAGUAUCGUGACCUCGAUGUUGAAUUAAGUAAAGUAGUGCUGUAGAAGGUACUACCUUAAGUCUGUUCGACUUAAAAUACUUACAUGAUUUGAGUUAAAAUCGACGUAAGCCAGA